rnacentral:lncRNA from 1 species
UUGAGAUUGCUUUUAAUAAAAAGAAAGUUUUUUGAAACAUGAAAAUGCAUCAUAAAACACUUCCUAAGAAAUCCCACGCCGCCGCGCGCAUUGGAUUGUAGCUUUUAUGUAUGUGCUUCAAAUGUUCAAUGUUUUUCUAUGUAUAAAUAUUCAAGAAGAAGCCAGUGGCUGUAUAAUUGUUCAUAUAAAUGAGUUCUGAUUAUUUAAAAGAGCUUGAUUUAGUACGCGCUAUCGCAUAUAUUAUGACAUACAAUAAUAUGAAUAAUAAGUUUUUAUUUGAAGAACUUUGCCGUGAGAUAUACCGUUCUCAAUGAAUACUCAUCAUAUGCAUUGUCAUGCACCAUAAUGUGCGUAAUGGCACGUAUCAGAUCUCAUCCCGUAAUUUAAAUUUAUUUAUUUGUUUGUUUAAUAAAUUAUGAUCAUCGAAACAUUUUUUUUUUUUGAGAAGGAUCAUCGAAACAUUACCUAUAGAUUAUAUAGACUAUUAUAUUAUUUUAUUGUCGCAUAAGAUUCAUAUGGAUUUUAUAUAAUUGGUGAAACAAGAUUAUAACUUUUUGAACUAUCUGUGAAUGAGUUUACAAACCUUGGUUAGUUGUGUGUGAAAAAUCUAGAAAUUGUUUACGUAAGACUAAGUUGGCGCUUACUAGAUUAAUCAAUUUAAUUAUUGGGCAGUUGCGAUGAAAAGAUAAACAAUUUAAUUAAGUUCGUUGUUGUUGCAUUUUUUGAUCCCUCUAUUUUUGUAUAUUUUGCGCAGUCUUGGUAGCUUAGUGGAUUCCUUAGAUGGUCAAAAUGUAAUUAGGUAGUGUUUACUUGUUGGAGUGGGAGUGUGGAGUGUGGAUUCCUCCCACUCCAGUGUUUACUUACCUUAAAAAAAGGGGGAGUGGGAGUGAAAAUCCAUGGGUCCCACUCAAUUUUGGAGUGGGGAGUGGGAUUCUCAGUUUCCCACUCCCAUGGGAGGAGGUGGGAGUGGGAAUCC